rnacentral:lncRNA from 10 species
AUGAAAUCGUCAUCUGGGGAACAUGAAGGAAUGAGGAAGAUGUGUGCACUGUAGACCCUGUGAUGGCCAGGGAAUAGAAGAGUCCACUUAGUCUCCAUGCAGGGGAGCAAUCGCCUUCGAAGGAGGACACUAUCAUCAUUAUGCCAAUAUAAUAGAUGAGAGACGGAGUUCCCGACAGAUGGUAGGCGUCUUGUCUGAGGUCCCACAGCUGGCAGGUGCAGGAGGAGCUGUGUUUGGAUCUCUCUGACUUCAGAAACUUUAAGGAGGACAGGUGUGUGUGGUGGAGGGAAGGGGAAUUGAACAAGCCCCGGGCUCUGUCCCCAAUCACAAUGUGAAGGCUGUGGGUUCAUUUACCGAAGACAAGGAGCCCUAGGAGAGAGAGAGUGCAGGGAGGGAGAGGCAGUCGUGGUCACAACAAGGAGCCCUAGGAGAGAGAGAGUGCGGGG